UACGGGGGGGGCAAGCGUUGUUCGGAAUUACUGGGCGUAAAGGGCUCGUAGGCGGCCAACUAAGUCAUACGUGAAAUCCCUCGGCUUAACCGGGGAACUGCGUCUGAUACUGGAUGGCUUGAGUUCGGGAGAGGGAUGCGGAAUUCCAGGUGUAGCGGUGAAAUGCGUAGAUAUCAGGAAGAACACCGGUGGCGAAGGCGGCUUGCUGGGCGUAGUCUGACGCUGAGGCGCGAAAGCGUGGGGAGCGAACAGG
rnacentral:rRNA from 1 species